rnacentral:rRNA from 1 species
GACGAGGGGUCCAAGCGUUGUUCGGAAUCAUUGGGCGUAAAGCGGGUGUAGGCGGCUCUAUAAGUCAGGAGUGAAAGCCCCCGAGCUUAACUUGGGAAGUGCUUUUGAUACUGCAGAGCUUGAAUGUGGGAGAGGUUAGUGGAAUUCCUGGUGUAGUGGUGAAAUACGUAGAUAUCAGCAGGAACACCCGCUGGCGAAGGCGGCCCCCUGGGCC